UACGUAGGGAGCAAGCGUUGUUCGGAUUUACUGGGCGUAAAGGGCGCGUAGGCGGUAGCACAAGUCAGUUGUGAAAUCUCCGGGCUUAACUCGGAAAGGUCAACUGAUACUGUGCGACUAGAGUGCAGAAGGGGCAACUGGAAUUCUCGGUGUAGCAGUGAAAUGCGUAGAUAUCGUAAGGAAGGCCGGUGGCGAAAGCGAGCCUCUGGACAGUUACUGACGCUGAUGCACGAAGGCCAGGGGAGCAAACGGG
rnacentral:rRNA from 1 species